rnacentral:rRNA from 1 species
CAGUAGCCGCGGGAAUACGUAGGGUGCAAGCGUUAAUCGGAAUUACUGGGCGUAAAGCGUGCGCAGGCGGUUAUAUAAGACAGAUGUGAAAUCCCCGGGCUCAACCUGGGAACUGCAUUUGUGACUGUAUAGCUAGAGUACGGCAGAGGGGGAUGGAAUUCCGCGUGUAGCAGUGAAAUGCGUAGAUAUGCGGAGGAACACCGAUGGCGAAGGCAAUCCCCUGGGCCUGUACUGACGCUUAUGCACGAAAGCGUGGGGAGCAAACAGGAUUAGAGACCCGUGUAGUCCCUGUCUCUUAUAC